GAAUCUUAGUAGCUGAAGGCUAACUUUCAUGCUUCUGUGCAUUUUUCUGGGGAGAGGUUUAUCAGAUAUGUGAAGAGGCCACGACUCCCAAGAGACUAAGGCAGACAAAAAGAACUCUGGCUUCUGGCUCUUGGCUCGGGAGGCACAGAGAGAAGGGGAGCUUAUCCAAAUCAGAAUUCCAGAAGCUGCAGGCUUUCCCUGUGGAAAGAACUGUCCUGUGGUACCCACUGCAGCCUUGGAGACCUAGCCUCGAGAAAACUUCGAUGUCCACGCCGGCCACACGGGCUUGGAAGACAAACAAGGACCCAAGAUCAAUAUCCACGACAGCCCGGCAACGCUUAUUGUUUAAAAGGAAGCUCCCUUUGUUCUUGCGUUUUACCAAACCGGGAAGUGUGCUUGCCUCUGGGGGGUCCCCGCACCUGGCUGGAGAAGGUACCCAGGACCGCAGAUCUUCGCAUCCAAGCAGGGUCCGAAGGCCACUGAGGCAUUUCCCACCCCCAACGGUCGCUCUUCGGAGCAGGGUUUUCUCGAGGAGAGCGUAGCGGCUCCAGCGGAUCAACGCGUCUGGUGGCCCAAGCUCGGCUUCCGAUUUCAUUUAACACAAGCCGCGCAUCUUAUCUCUGCGUCCCCUCCCCGGGGUUCCCACUCCGCCCUCCCUCC
ensembl:lncRNA